rnacentral:lncRNA from 1 species
CCACCGUCGUCGUCAUCUCUGGCGCUCUUCAGGUUUGGUUUGUUGGGGUUUCAGCUGUCAUGCCCCUUCCAUCUUUCUUCUCAAUCAAUUUCUUGCUGAGAAGAAGAACCUUGAUGAUUUGAUAUUGAAUGCCACUGACGUGGUGCUCCGGUUUCUGUUUCGGCCCCAAUUGCCGUUGUUGCCUCCACUGCAGUUGCUGCUCUUACCGAGGAGAAGAAGGAAGAACCUAAGGAUGAGAGUGACGAUGACAUGGGAUUCAACUUGUUUGAUUAGAAGCACUUUUAGUAUGAUCUUUUCUGAUUUUUGUCCUCGUAUUGGGGUAGUUACUUGGUGGAAUUCCUUUUUUUGGGACUCAAUUUUAUUUUGAUUGCAUUAUUAGCUCAAGAUUUUGUUGUGCUUUUGAGUUUAAUUUGAGUUGAAUUGUUGAAGGUUUUAAUUCCACUGAGAUUUGAAUUUUUUUUCUCUGCCAUGAAUGAAAAUUGCUGAAGGUUUUUGGACUGGGAAUGGUAGGAGGAGAAAGAUGAAAGAGUGUUUUGGUUGAAGAUGAAUUUAAGGGUAAAUUGGUCAUUUCGCGUGCGUAUGGGCAAAUCAUCANNNN